rnacentral:rRNA from 1 species
GUGGGGAAUUUUGGACAAUGGGCGAAAGCCUGAUCCAGCCAUGCCGCGUGUGUGAAGAAGGUCUUCGGAUUGUAAAGCACUUUAAGUUGGGAGGAAGGGCAGUAAGUUAAUACCUUGCUGUUUUGACGUUACCGACAGAAUAAGCACCGGCUAACUUCGUGCCAGCAGCCGCGGUAAUACGAAGGGUGCAAGCGUUAAUCGGAAUUACUGGGCGUAAAGCGCGCGUAGGUGGUUUUGUAAGUUGGAGGUGAAAUCCCCGGGCUCAACCUGGGAACUGCCUCCAAAACUGCAUGACUAGAGUACGGUAGAGGGUAGUGGAAUUUCCUGUGUAGCGGUGAAAUGCGUAGAUAUAGGAAGGAACACCAGGGGCGAAGGCGACUACCUGGACUGAUACUGACACUGAGGUGCGAAAGCGUGGGGAGCAAACAGGAUUAGAAACCCUGGUAGUCC